rnacentral:rRNA from 1 species
UGAAUACGAGACGCUACGGCGUUGAAGCAGUGUAUGUCAUACUUCCAAGAAAAGCUCGCAAGGUCAUAAACAAAUAAUGCCUGUACCAUAACCGACACAGGUGGGUAGGUAGAGUAUACUAAGGGGCGCGAGAUAACUCUCUCUAAGGAACUCGGCAAAAUGACUCCGUAACUUCGGGAGAAGGAGUGCCUUAUUCUAUAAGGUUGCAAUAACAAGAUCCAAGCAACUGUUUAUCAAAAACACAGGUCUCCGCUAAGUCGUAAGACGAUGUAUGGGGGCUGACGCCUGCCCAGUGCCAGAAGGUUAAAGAAGUUGGUUAGCAAUUGCGAAGCUGAUAACUGAAGCCCUGGUGAACGGCGGCCGUAACGAUAACGGUCCUAAGGUAGCGAAAUUCCUUGUCGGGUAAGUUCCGACCCGCACGAAAGGCGUAAUGAUUUGGAUACUGUCUCAGAGAGGGGCUCGGUGAAAUAGACUUGUCUGUGAAGAUGCGGACUACCUGCACCUGGACAGAAAGACCCUAUGAAGCUUUACUGUAACUUGACAUUGAAACUGGACUUUACUUGCGCAGGAUAGGUGGGAGGCGUUGAAAAUAUUCUUGCGGGAAUAUUGGAGCCAUCGGUGAGAUACCACUCUUGUAAUGUUAGGUUUCUAACUUGGUAUCAUGAUCUGGUCCAAGGACAGUUUCAGGCGGGCAGUUUGACUGGGGCGGUCGCCUCCUAAACGGUAACGGAGGCGUACAAAGGUUUCCUCUGAACGGGUAGAAAUCGUAUCUAGAGUGUAAAGGCAUAAGGAAGCUUGACUGUGAGACCUACAAGUCGAGCAGGGACGAAAGUCGGUCUUAGUGAUCUGACGGUGCUGAGUGGAAAGGCCGUCACUCAACGGAUAAAAGUUACUCUAGGAUAACAGGCUGAUCUCCCCCAAGAGUUCACAUCGACGGGGAGGUUUGGCACCUCGAUGUCGGCUCAUCGCAUCCUGGGGCGGUAGUACGUCCCAAGGGUUGGGCUGUUCGCCCAUGAAAGCGGUACGCGAGCUGGGUUCAGAACGUCGUGAGACAGUUCGGUCCAUAUCCGGUGUAGGCGUUAGAAUAUUGAGAGGAGCCUUCUUUAGUACGAGAGGACCGAGAAGGACAUACCUAUGGUGUACCAGUUAUCGUGCCAACGGUAAACGCUGGGUAGCUAUGUGUGGAGUGGAUAACCGCUGAAAGCAUCUAAGUGGGAAGCCCACCUCAAGAUUAGUAUUCUCAUC